rnacentral:rRNA from 1 species
AUUGAACGCUGGCGGCAUGCUUUACACAUGUAAGUCGAACGGUAACAGGUUAAGCUGACGAGUGGCGAACGGGUGAGUAAUGCAUCGGAACGUGCCCGGUCGUGGGGGAUAACGCAGCGAAAGCUGCGCUAAUACCGCAUACGAUCUAAGGAUGAAAGCGGGGGACCGUAAGGCCUCGCGCGAUCGGAGCGGCCGAUGUCAGAUUAGGUAGUUGGUGGGGUAAGGGCUCACCAAGCCAACGAUCUGUAGCUGGUCUGAGAGGACGACCAGCCACACUGGGACUGAGACACGGCCCAGACUCCUACGGGAGGCAGCAGUGGGGAAUUCUGGACAAUGGGCGAAAGCCUGAUCCAGCAAUGCCGCGUGCAGGAAGAAGGCCUUCGGGUUGUAAACUGCUUUUGUACGGAGCGAAAAGGUCUCCUCUAAUACAGGGGGCUCAUGACGGUACCGUAAGAAUAAGCACCGGCUAACUACGUGCCAGCAGCCGCCGUAA